GAUUCUAACUCCAAUCUUCUGAUUCCAAAGCCUUUGUUACUUGCUCCACCCCACAACUGCCUCACAAGCAUCCCAGAGUCCAGUCAGCAGACAGCAGAAGAGACUGUCAGCAGACCACCUUGGAGGGGAUGCUUGGAGCUGCCUAACGUGUGAUUCAAAGAUGAAUUCCAUGUGUUUGGAGAAGAAGCCCUAGCCUCAACACAAAGGUUGGCCACAUUCCAGCCAAGGUAGCACGGAGUGAAGGCCCGUGGAGGGAGAGCUGGGCUUUUCUGAACUACUUCAGUACACCUUGCUGUGCCUUGGCCUGCCGUGUUUCAUCCCCAUGGCUGUCCUCAGUGAUGUGCAUGGUCACUGCUCCCUUCACCACUGAGAAGACGGGCACAGGACAGUCAGGGGAUGUGUCCAAGGUCCCACAGCAGGAAGGGCUGGAGCCAGAAUGUGGUCUGAGAGGCUGGAUAUACAAAGAGACAAUGGCAUGACCAUCUGUACAAAUGGAACUAUGGCCCACAACCUGCAGCAGCCAGCCCAGGAAGCCAACCCGUCACCUGCAGCAGCCAGGAUGGAUGCUGGCCUGCCCUCACUGAUACUCAAGUCUAGUUUUAUAUGGCUCCAAACGCCUCCACCAUGAGCUCAAGGCAGUGAGACUGACUGAAAAACCCUCUCUAUUACAGACCACAACAUUGAACCCAACAUCCCCCUAAGUAGGUUGUACUCACAUCAUUGGUCUUAUGGGGAAAUUUUAAGACCUCCCACUUGUAAGGUUUUAUAGCCCUCUAUGGAAUAUUGAAGAAAGAGUAAAAUGCAUCCAAAAAAAAAAAAAAACACUAAACUGGAUAAAUUCUAAGGCCUCUUCAGGUCUUAAGAUGGCCAUUUUCUAGGUCCUCUUGCUGCAGCAGUGAAAUCCACAAACACGGACAAGUCAGUCAGUUACGUGCCUUUCAGAGAAAACUUCUGACUUAGGAAUUCCAGCUAUUUGGCCCAACCCAUAUUAGAUUGUGUUAUAAAGACAUGGUAAAUUACAUCACGAAGGGAAGAGCAGAGGAAACAUAAUAUUCCUUCAAGACCCAUCAGCUCAGAUGUUAGCAGAACACCCCUAAGGAGGAAAACAAGAAAUUUUGGGUUUGAACUUGGUACUUCCCAGCAGCCCUGGGAGUGGGGUCAGAAGCCCUGCUGGGGGCCAAAGAACUCUGAGGAUCAAAGAUGUUGAGCAUCACCUUAGAGGCCAAAGAUCAGAACAGUGGAGGUGGCCUUUGAAGCCCAACCUGUCUUUCACCAGAGAGUGAGAACGGCCUCUAUUUCCAGGAAGCUCACUGCAGCAAUAAUCAUGAUGCUCUGAGCCUGACAAGGUGAGAAUUUACUUUCAGCACCUGCAAUAGUUUCCUAUUAAAGUUACAUAUGAAACCCUGCCGUCUUGUACCAACUAAUGUUCACACCAGCGUUCCUAUUUUCAAGAUAAAUUGCAAAAUAAAAACUCUUGUUUUCGUUAGCAAAAGAAAACUUCUUUAGGAGGAUAAAAGGGAGAUGAAGAAACAGAAAACACAUCAGCUCUCCAUCCAGAUUACAGAAAGCAGAAAACAUCCUGAAGUGAAUAACAUAGGAAUCGCUCUUUUUCCCCCCUGAGAUAGCAGGUUACUUAUGAGAAACAAGCUUGAAAUCUCUGCACCUGGACCAGCUUCCAGAGGCUUUUGUCCUGACCAGCUGGCUUUGGGGAAGUAAAGGAAACCAGAGAAGAAGAGGCUGAAAGAAUUGGUUUCCACCGUGACCUUUGAACCCUCGGGCGAGUUGUCAGCCUCACUGAGGAUGAGUGUACUCCAUAUCAAGUGAGGUCACUUUACUCGCAAGCUUGUUGUGAGGACUGAAUGAAACCUUUUCUUUUUUCUUGGAGUUUCAGAGCAACGUCCCUGAGCCCAGCCCCACACUGGCUUGAGCCCUGUCGUCGGUCAAGACACGGUGCUUUCUCCCCUCCCCUCUGCACUCCAGCUUACUCUGCAGUCAGGAGGUGGCACCACGAUCCCCUUUAAGACUUUGCCACUUGGGCCAGCUGCGCCCCUGUGAAAUUCCCUGUUUCUAUUGCAGGCCACAAGGACGAGCUGAGAAAUGGCUUCCAGUCACCAUCUAGAUUAGAAAGCCUAUAUUUCAAAUAUAGAUAUAUCAAUUAUGCCUGUAAAAAGACAUUAAAUCCCACAGGGCUGUAAUUCCUAGACUCUACGAAUUUCAUCUUGCACCAAAUUUUAUUAUUUCAUUUAUAAUUCGGAUUCUUCAAAUCUAAGAGUGCCUGGCUCAAAAUUAAAAUACCUACAACUAUGCCAAAACUGGACUCUUUAAUUGCCUUACUGGAACCAGUAGCUGAUUCAAAGCAAAACGAAACAAAAUUCCUCCUUUCUCUGAUUUAGUGAAUCAAUGAUCUAACUGAACUCAUUUUUGGACUGAGUUUGCGGCACUUGCAGCCCUGAGGGACACAUUCCCCCACCACACUGAGCCUGCACUCCCAUCAAUGCAAAUGAACAUUUUGCUUAUUCAGAUUGGGGGGGUGAAGGAAGUCACAAAAGGGUUAAUACAUAUGGCAUUUCAUUGUAAUAUGUACUCACUACUAACUAAAUUAAAAGAGAUGUGAGUUAUUAAAAACUCCAUCUUAAGAAAGUAACAGAAAUCAGAGUUCAGAUUCGUUGUUACUGAGUUUCCAACCAACACCUGUGAGUUAAACCUACGGCCACCCUGAAAACGGUUCAUAUUUUCAAAAGCUUCAUCGAAGAUGAGCUGCACUAAAGAUUCAUAUUACAUAUCAUGCUGCAAUAAGAAAAUCAAAUAAGGCCUUUCCAUAUUCAAUAAUAAAGUUUAAAGAAAAGUAAUAUUUGUUUAGCCAGUUAGCCAGAAAUUAGAUGUAUCAGAAUACAUCAUUCUUUGAGCAUUUUAGAAAAAUCAGGGUAUUUCUACAUUGUGUUUUUCUUUGUAAGCCCUCAAAAAAUAUAGAGAAUAUUCUUGAAA
ensembl:lncRNA LINC01304 long intergenic non-protein coding RNA 1304